UACAGAGGCCUCGAGCGUUAGGCGGAAUCACUGGGCUUAAAGCGUGUGUAGGCGGGUCGUUAAGUACCUUGUGAAAUCCCACGGCUCAACCGUGGAACUGCUUGGUAUACUGGCGAUCUUGUGCCACCUAGGGGCGAGCGGAACAGAUGGUGGAGCGGUGACAUGCGUAGAUAUCAUCUGGAACGCCAAUGGUGAAAACAGCGCGCUGGGGGUGUGCAGACGCUGAGACACUAAAGCCAGGGGAGCGACCUGG
rnacentral:rRNA from 1 species